UUUUAUAUCUCUUUCGACAGACUUUUUCGGUUUCCAAAGAGGAGGUCGUGUUGAUUACUCUCUAUAUGAAGUAGACAUUGAGUACGUUGUCAGGGACUACAGGAAGAUUCCCAAUUACUCACAAAAGGAAAUGAGAGAAGACAAAGUCUACAUGCUGUUAAAAGACAACAGUGACCGUGUUAUCUUCUGGGUGGGGAGAUUAGCUCCUGAAAAUAAAGUCAGGAUCCUAAACAAUUUCGUGAGAGAACUAUCCGUAUUGUACGCACCUGGUACAUACACAAUACAAAAACAAGAAUUUGAAAACCAGAUAUUUUUGGACGCCUUCCGAAAAUGGGAUCCUAACAUGUGGAAUAAACAAAGACUGGAUGAACUAUUCAAAAUGGAUGACCUUGACAACAACCUAGUAGAUGACUGUUAAAGUUAAUACAUGCUAAUUUUUGUACUAAAGGCCCUGCCAUAUUAGAGCGUUGUAUUAUGUUGCAUCGACGCAACGUCGGAGAUGCGUCGUCUUGGUAAUUUAAAUGACAUUUCACAUCAAAACAUUGUGUGACGUCACAAGUAGCAGCGACAGUGAUUGUACCAUUAUUUUGUGGUAGAGGAAACACCUCGAAACACCCAAGACUUGAUACCUUGGGUGUAGAUUUAAGGGAUCCCUUUAGAAUGCUUCAACACUCACUUUCCCUGUCCGACAUGUUAUCCAUGCCCACACUAAACAAUUUAUGAUAAACAAUAAUUGCAACAUAAAAUAUUAUUGUACAAAAUCACUAACGCGACUGGCAGCGUGACGGUUAAAGAAAGAAAAAGAUCUUUAUUUUUAAGUAAUGCCACAUAUAACAUUGAAUUUAAAUUAUAACAUAUUAUGGCUAACUGUCCACUCAAACAGUGGAGCAGUAAAGAAUGCCCUGUAAUAUGUGGCAUAACCUAGAAAAAGGCCGCAACUCAGCAUUUUGCCGCAUACUUUCAAUAAAAAAAGGAUGCAGCAAUGAUUUUCAGUUAGGACCCAGAUCAGGUGCCGCCACGCACACAGUUCAACAUUUUAUGUAAACUAUUAAAGACAAUUAUUAAGAACUAAUUAAAACUAGGUGGGUACAUUGAUUUAAAAAAAAACACAGAAAACGGUGUCUACGCUGCCUAAAAAACAACUGAGCUCAAGUCACCAAAUACCCUCUUAUUUAUACCAACACUGAUACUUCCACUCUACAAUAACGUAAUUAAUGAAUUCUAAUACCAGUUGUAAUCGAGGAACUUGUAACAGUUGCGUCAUCCUCUUGUGCUGCGACAUCGUACGUUUUUUUUAUUCUCUACAAGUUAGCCCUUGACUACAAUCUCACCUGAUAGUAAGUGAUGAUGCAAUCUAAGAUGGAAGCGGGCUAACUUGUUAGGAGUAGGAAGAAAUCCACACUCUCUCGGUUUCUACACGACAUCGUAACGGAAUGCUAAAUCGCUUGGCGGUACGUCUUUGUCGGUAGGAUGGUAACUAGCCACUGCCAAAGCCUCCCACCAGCCACACUUGGACUAUGAAAACCUCAAUCGGCCCAGCGGGGGUCGAACCCAGGACCUCUGUCUUGUAAAUCCACCGCGCAUACCACUGCACCACGGAAGCCGUCGUACUACAUAUGUGGCAUACAAUGUUUUGAUCCGUUGCGACGAUGCGACGAAGCAACAUAACGCACUAAUGAAGCAUCGCCCUUAAAAUUAAAUAUUAUAUUGGGGAAAGGAAAUCUUUCGUUUUGAAAGACAUUAAUUUAGGCUAUUAAUGGGGAUGAUGACUGGGCUGAAUAUAUUGAUUUUUGCGAUACAUUCGAAUAAAUAAGAUGAAUGUUAACUAAUUUAUACAUAAAAAGCAAAGAUUGUCUGGUUAUUUGCACAAAAAGGUUAUAAAAUUUCAAAUCUAUUAAAAAUCUUUUGUCGUAAUUAGAAGACAAUUCAUACAGUUUCAGCUUUCUUAUAUUCGUCGUUAUCAACCCAUAUUCGGCUCACUGCUGAGCUCAAGUCUCCUCUCAGAAUGAGAGGGGUUAGGCCAAUAGUCCACCACGCUGGCCCAAUGCGGAUUGGCAGACUUCACACACGCAGAGAAUGAAGAUAAUUCUCUGGUAUGCAGGUUUCCUUACGAUGUUUUCCUUCACCGAUUGAGACACGUGAUAUUUAAUUUAUUAAAAUGCACACAACUGAAAAGUUGAAGGUGCAUGCCCCGGACCGGAUUCGAACCCACACCCUCCGAAAUCGGAGGCAGAGAUCAUAUCCACUGGGCUAUCACGGCUCUUAUAUUAAAUGUGACAUUUUUCAAUAAAUGAACUAAAAACAUAAACGCACAAAUAACAAAGAUAUUAGUAAUUUUGUUUGAAUACAUACAAAAAAUACAUACAUACAAAUCUAACGAUCAUUAUGUACCUACGACGUCAUUAAUUCGUACCAUUUUGUAUGGGGCGUUUUUCAGGGAUCCGCGGCAGCGCCGCAAAUCUGACCCUUCAAAUCCCUGUAGCUCCGAAAGUAAUGAUCGCAGAUACCCUGUUACUUUUACAAAAUUGCUUUACUAUUAGCAUACUCUUAAUCUAUAUACAAUUUAAAAACAGUCAUCAUCCCCUAUUCAUAAGACGGCAGCUUUUAGGGGAAGCUAAACUAGUAGUAAGUUUUGCUGCUACUAAAUGUUGGAACGAUUUGCCACCAUCAAUAAAAUCUGUUAAAUUUGCUAAUACUUUAAAAUUUAAAUUGAAAAAUUAUUCAAUAACUCAGCAGAAACAGACUUGUUGAUCUUAUAGUUCCAACAUUAAAUAGAGCUAGCAGUGGCGUGCACAGGGCAUUCAAUUAGGGUAUGCACUAUACGUACAAUUUGUAUAAAAUGGAAAAUUACUUCUCCAACGCAGGUUCGUAAUUACUCCCGAGGGUAGGCAGUGCAUUUUUGCAUCUAUGAAGUGCACGCCACUGAGAGCUGGUGGUAGUUAUGUUUUUUUUUAGUUUAUCUAUGGCUUGUAAUGUUAUACUUAAAGCGCAUGUCCCAAUUUUGUAUGGAGGCUGGGCCUUUAUUCCCGAGUGUCAACUAACCAGACAAAUUAUUUUUAUCUUAAAAGAAUGAAUGAAUGAAUGAAAUAUACUUUAUUGUACACCAAAAAUAAUAAUAACAGUCAAGAAAUUAACUUAAAAACUAAUGUACAAUUGGCGGCCUUAUCGCUAAUGAGCGAUCUCUUCCAGACAACCAAUCGAAAAAAGAGAAAAUAAAUACAUAAAGAACAUAAAAUAUAGGGCUUAAAACCCAAAAUAUAAUUAGUUCUUCAAUUAAUGAAAUAAAAUGUUUUUUUUUUAAUUGGCUAACAACAUUAAUUAAGAAUUUUUAUCAUGGCAACAUGCUUGUAACUCACACCCUGACAGAUUGUCGGUGAUCUUCGCGCAGUAGCGUUAGCAAUAUAAGGAUUUUUUUUUAAUGCUUCUCUGUCUACGAUAUAAUGUUUCUUUUUAACUUGUGUCUUAUUGACAUUUGACAAUAUUAUUAUUGACAGCUUACACCGGAUAUGAAUUCACUUCCAGGUGUUUUUGAAAUCCUUAACUUUUAUUAAUUAAAAUUAUCAAUAGGAAGUAUUUAUUAAUGAAGAUAAUACUUAAAUUAGCUAAACUUAUUAUAAAAAUAAAAUAUAAGGAAAUAUAACUACAACUACAAAAUUAAAAUAAGGUGGUGUUUUUUGUUCUGUUUUGAACACUUUUAGAAUAGAAUAUAUCUUUAUCUGUCCACACACGAGUAAUAAAAUAAAAUAAAAUAAACAAACAGAACAUACAAAUAUCUGGUCGUGGACAAAACAGGUAUCCACCUCAGCACAAUGCCACAGCGAGCUGUGGCGCUGGUUUUCAGGUGAAACCUUGUGAGUUCACGGACGUGUCUACGUGACGUGUCUUAACUUAAAACUUAUACAUGAAUACAAAGUAAAAUAAAAUAAUGAAACGAAAACGAACAGAGUAAUAAAAUAAAAAAAUGCCAUUUUGUAUGGGACGUUUUUCAGGGAUCCGCGGCAGCGCCGCAAAUCUGACCCUUUAAAUCCCUGUAGCUCCGAAAGUAAUGAUCGCAGAUACCCUGUUACUUUUACAAAAUUGCUUUACUAUUAGCAUACUCUUAAUUUAUAUACAAUUAAAAAAACUGUCAUCAUCCCUAUUG